GACGAACGCUGGCGGCGUGCUUAACACAUGCAAGUCGAACGGAAAGGCCCUGCUUUUGUGGGGUGCUCGAGUGGCGAACGGGUGAGUAACACGUGAGUAACCUGCCCUUGACUUUGGGAUAACUUCAGGAAACUGGGGCUAAUACCGGAUAGGAGCUCCUGCUGCAUGGUGGGGGUUGGAAAGUUUCGGCGGUUGGGGAUGGACUCGCGGCUUAUCAGCUUGUUGGUGGGGUAGUGGCUUACCAAGGCUUUGACGGGUAGCCGGCCUGAGAGGGUGACCGGCCACAUUGGGACUGAGAUACGGCCCAGACUCCUACGGGAGGCAGCAGUGGGAAUAUUGCACAAUGGGCGGAAGCCUGAUGCAGCAACGCCGCGUGCGGGAUGACGGCCUUCGGGUUGUAAACCGCUUUCGCCUGUGACGAAGCGUGAGUGACGGUAAUGGGUAAAGAAGCACCGC
rnacentral:rRNA from 1 species